UCGUUUGACUCGUUUCUUUGUGUAGCUCGUUUGCGUAGUCUGAAAACGUAAAUAUUUUCCUUUUUUUAUAUAUGUGGAAUAGCGAAUCAGUACUAAAGCACUUUGAUGCUUUCUUAUGUCGUUGUGUCAUUUGCGAAAAAUCAUUAGAAAAGUGUGGAAGAGUGUAAAAGUUCCCGUGGAAACGUAGUAAGCGGUGCUGAAAAUCUCGGAAAAAGUCCGUGCUGCUGGUUGCAAUCAUGACGAUUAAACCAGUGGUGAACCAGAAGAUUUCGAAGGACGACAGCCAGGAGAGUAGUUCCCAGAACCUCGUGAAUAACGGCACAGUGGUCCGCAAUGCACACCGGAAUGUUGUUUUAAAUCAGCUGUCUACGUCAGAAAAUCAACCACUUCCGAGGGAAAAACGAGUGCACACUCCGCAUAAUUUCGACAGCGAAAAUGUUCGUCACAGAAGGAGCCCCCACAAGAAUAUUGGUCGCCCAAAGCGCGAUCAUCACCAUAAAAGAGAGACCCGCGAGCGUGACAAAAACGCUUCGCCUAACUAUCAGGUGGUCAUCCCUCCGGUGAACAGUAAAAAGCAAUCGACAUCAUCAUGUUCGAGUCCUCUGGGAAACGCAGGAGGUCGUUCGCCCAAGAAUACGCUUCCCUCAACUUGCAAUCUCAAUUUGAACACCGGCAGCAGUGGAAAUAAUCCGAUUACGGCAACGAUUGAGGAGGCUCUCUCUGGGUACAACAGCGGCGAUGAACACGUUGGCCAGAAAGAUGCCCAGCUCAGUCCCGACGAGUGGAAGGAGCGUGAUGAGGCAUUUGGGAAGAUUAUGUCCGAGCGCGGGUUGAUCAUCAAGGAUAUGGAAGAAGACGGUGCCUGCCUAUUUCGUGCAAUUUCGUUACAAAUUUAUGGCGAUCAGGAUAUGCAUGAAAUUAUUAGACAACAAACAAUGGACUAUAUUUACCAAAAUCGUGAAUAUUUUGCACAGUUUGUAACUGAGGAUAUAAAUAAUUACGUUGCUAGGAAAAGAGCGAAUCACGUACAUGGAAAUCAUAUAGAGAUUCAAGCAAUGUCUGAAAUGUACAACCGCUCAGUAGAACUGUAUUGUUAUCAACUUGAGCCAAUCAACAUUUUUAAUUCCGAUCAAAUUAAUAAUGGAAAUGAGCCUUUACGAUUAUCCUAUCAACGGGGUUCGCACUAUAAUGCAAUCAUGGACCCGUACAAGGCAUCAGUAGGGGUCGGUCUAGGUUUGGCUGGUUAUAGACCUGACGAAGUGGACAUCAAGCAAGUUGCUGACGCAGUACGAAUGAGUGAAGAACUGGAAAUCGAGCAAACCAUGUUUGAAGAUAAGUUGAAAACCACCGAUUGGGAGGCCACGAAUGAGGCCAUAGAGGAGCAAAUAGCGAGAGAAUCGUAUCUGCAGUGGUGUCGUGAUAAUAUGCGCGAGAACACCGGCAAGAAUAGUAAAAGUACGAGUACCAUUACCUCCAGCGAAGUAAGCAUGGGAGGGGGAGGUUGCAGUAGUGCUGCGGCCUGUGCAGAAAAAUCCCCCAAACAUAGUUUAGACGCUGCAACAUCGUACUCGGAGUCCUUGCUACGCGAGUUUCGAAAAUCUACGUCUCCCUCGUCUUCAAACCUAUCCUUCAACCAGGGAAGCUGUUCUUCCAGUUCAAAAGGCAAUUCGUUCGAAUUGGAUGGUUCUCUGCCGGAAACCUCAUGUUCAGUACAAUACUUUUUCAACAAUUGCAACAGAAGAAAGAAAAGGAAUCUGAAUUCACCAAUCCGGAGUUGUCACAUCGGGACAUCAGUAAGAUGCUCGGAAUCGUCCAAUCCACGGUCAGCAGAGUACUAAAACGAUACUUCGAGAACCUAACCAUCGACCGGAAGGUGAAGAACGGCAAAAAUGGAUGCUCCGUCCGGGAUGUCGCCAAUAAGCUGAAUUUGUCAAGUUCAUUCGUCCAGCGGACCAAGCAGCGGGAGGGCCUGUGUACAUACAAGGUUCAGAAGGCUCCUAACCACGACGAAAGGCAAAACAGGGUGGGGAAGACGCGAGCCUGGGAGCUGUACACCGAAAUGCUGACGAAGCCGCAUUGCCUGGUAAUGGACGACGAAACCUACGUCAAAGCGGACUUUCGUCAGCUGCCGGGCCUGUUGUUCUUCUCCGCAGUGGACAAAUUCAGCGAUCCGGAGGAGAUUCGCAAGCAGAAACUAUCCAAGUUUGCCAAAAAGUACAUGGUGUGGCAAGCGAUCUGCUCUUGUGGAAAGCGGAGCGCCCCCUUCGUGAUGACCGGCACGGUAAACGGGCAGGUUUACCUUAAGGAGUGCCUACAGAAGUGCUUACUACCGCUAUUGAAGCAGCACGAGGUCCCGACCAUCUUCUGGCCGGAUCUCGCUUCGUGCCACUAUUCAAAGGAAGUGUUGGAGUGGUACGAAGCCAACGGGGUCACCUUCGUGCCAAAGGAAAUGAACCCGCCCAACGCGCCGGAGCUUCGCCCAAUAGAGAAAUAUUGGGCGAUUAUGAAGCAGGCCCUCCGGAAGAACCCAAAAGUUGUCAAAUCGGAAGCGGACUUCAAGAGAAAAUAGAUUUCUGUUGAAAAAAAAAGACGGAGUGGACAAACCUAACUCGGAAGUACUAAUUUUGAAAAAAUCAAAAUUAACGACCAAUCGCCCGUCGGAAACCGAAGCUGGCAAUGUAGCGAGCACCUCCGGUGGUGCG